AAGAACGCACACGGGGGAUGCCUAGGCAUCUGCCGGCGAAGAAGGACGCGACAAGCUGCGAAAAUCCGAAGUAAGGCGCACAAAGCCAUUGACCUUCGGGUCUCCGAAUGGGGUAACCCACAUGGACUUGUCCAUGUAUCUUUUUGCUGAAUAAAUAGGCAAAAAGAGGCAAACCUGGUGAACUGAAACAUCUUAGUAACCGGAGGAAAAGACAUCAACAGAGAUUCCCUAAGUAGCGGCGAGCGAACGGGGAUUAGCCCAAACCAGAUUUAUCUGGGGUUGUAGGACUUCAUAAUGGUAAUAAUACGGAAACAGAAGCGGGAUGGAAAGCCCCCUCACAGAAGGUGAUAAGCCUGUAUGAAUCUGUAGCAUUACUUGGAAGUAUCCUGAGUAGGGCGGGACACGUGAAAUCCUGUCUGAAUCUAGGGGGACCACCCUCUAAGGCUAAAUACGAGCAGAUGACCGAUAGCGAAGUAGUACCGUAAGGGAAAGGUGAAAAGCACCCCGGAAGGGGAAUGAAAUAGAACCUGAAACCGUGUGCGUACAAUCAGUCGAAGGAAAGAUUCAUCUUUCUAACGGCGUGCCUUUUGUUUAAUGAGCCAGCGAGUUGCUCGUGUACGGCAAGGUUAAGUGCCUCAGGCAUGGAGCCGAAGCGAAAGCGAGUCUUAACUGGGCGACCAGUCGUACGCGGCAGACACGAAGCCUUAGUGAUCUACCCAUGGCCAGGUUGAAGCGAGAGUAACAUCUCGUGGAGGACCGAACCGAUAUACACUGAAACGUGUUCGGAUGAGCUGUGGGUAGGGGUGAAAGGCCAAUCAAACUGGGCGAUAGCUUGUUCUCUCCGAAACAUAUUUAGGUAUGGCGUUAUGAUAGUUUUCCGGGGGUAGAGCACUGGCUGGACUAGGGGGCACACCCGCUUACCAAACCCAACCAAACUCCGAAUACCGGCAAAAUGUUUCAUAGCAGACAGCCCGCGGGUGAUAAGAUCCGUGGACGAGAGGGGAACAACCCGGACCACCGACUAAGUGUCCCUAAAUACAUGCUAAGUGGCAAAGGAUGUGAAAGUGCACAGACAGCCAGGAGGUUAGCUUAGAAGCAGCUACCCUUUAAAGAAAGCGUAAUAGCUCACUGGUCAAGCGCUUUUGCGCCGAAAAUGAUCGGGACUAAGCAUGUUACCGAAGUCGUGGAUUUGCAGUUUACUGUAAGUGGUAGGAGAGCGUUCCGUAGGCCUGUGAAGGUGGGUGGUGAUGCCCGCUGGAGGUAUCGGAAAUGAGAAUGCUGGCAUGAGUAUGCGAAAAUGCAGGUGAAAAACCUGCACACCGUAAGUCUAAGGUUUCCUGGGUAAAGCUAAUCUUCCCAGGGUUAGUCGGGUCCUAAGAUCAGGCCGAGAGGCGUAGUCGAUGGCAAUUGGAUUAAUAUUUCCGAACCUUUAUUAACGCGUUAUACCGAUGGGGUGACGCAUGGAGUAGAAUUUAAGUCCUGAUGGAAUAGGACUUGAGUGCGCGUAGGGCGUAUAGGUGGUAAAUCCCUUAUACACAUACCCGAGACGCAGGACCUUUAGCGGGCUUCGGCUCAACAAAGCGUAAUUUCAAUCUGUGCCAGGAAAAACCUCUAAGGGAGUUUUAAUAAAGCCCGUACCGCAAACCGACACAGGUAGACGAGGCGAGUAGCCUAAGGUGCUCGAGAUAACUCAGGAGAAGGAACUCGGCAAAUUAACCCCGUAACUUCGGGAUAAGGGGAGCCUCCCCUUGUUAGUGUUAACAGCACAAAGCAUAAGGAGGCCGCAGAGAAAUGGCAGGAGCGACUGUUUACCAAAAACAUAGGGCUAUGCAAACCCUCAAGGGGAAGUAUAUAGUCUGACACGUGCCCGGUGCUGGAAGGUUAACAGGAGAUGUCAGCGCAAGCGAAGCAUUGAAUCGAAGCCCCAGUAAACGGCGGCCGUAACUAUAACGGUCCUAAGGUAGCGAAAUUCCUUGUCGGGUAAGUUCCGACCUGCACGAAUCGUGUAACGACUUCUGCACUGUCUCCUCCUGGGACUCGGCGAAAUUGCAUUGUCGGUGAAGAUGCCGACACCCCGCACCUGGACGGAAAGACCCCAUGAACCUUCACUGUAUUUUGACAUUGUUUUUAGGCCUGGCAUGUGUAGGAUAGGUGGGAGGCUUUGAAGCGGCGACGCCAGUUGUCGUGGAGCCAUCCUUGAAAUACCACCCUUGUCCGGUUUGAGAUCUAACCGAGGUCCUUUUAACAGGAUCCGGGACCGUGUCUGAUGGUCAGUUUGACUGGGGCGGUCGCCUCCUAAAAGGUAACGGAGGCAUCCAAUGGUUCCCUCAGCGCGGUUGGUAAUUGCGCGUAGAGCAUAAAGGCAUAAGGGAGCUUCACUGCGAGACAGACAUGUCGAGCAGAUACGAAAGUAGGGCUUAGUGAUCCCGCGGUACAGCGUGGAAUGGCCGUUGCUCAAUGGAUAAAAGGUACUCUGGGGAUAACAGGCUAAUCUCUCCCAAGCGUUCAUAGCGACGGGGAGGUUUGGCACCUCGAUGUCGGCUCGUCGCAUCCUGGGGCUGGAGAAGGUCCCAAGGGUUUGGCUGUUCGCCAAUUAAAGCGGCACGCGAGCUGGGUUCAGAACGUCGUGAGACAGUUCGGUCCCUAUCCGGUGUGGGCGCACGAAAUUUGAGGGAAGCUGUCCUUAGUACGAGAGGACCGGGACGGACACACCUCUGGUGUACCGGUUGUCACGCCAGUGGCAUUGCCGGGUAGCUAUGUGUGGAUUGGAGAAACGCUGAAAGCAUCUAAGCGUGAAGCCAUUCCCAAGAUUAGAUUUCGCAGGGAUUAUUCCCUCUAAAGGAUCGUUAGAGACCAUAACGUUGAUAGGUCACAGGUGUAAGCAUAGUAAUAUGUUGAGCCAAGUGAUACUAAUAGUCCGUGAGGCUUUUAC
rnacentral:rRNA from 1 species